rnacentral:tRNA from 1 species
GGGCGGAUGGUUUAGUGGUAUAAUACUCCCUUAGCAUGAUGUCGCAAGCGAACAGAAUCUGGGAGUGGUCCGGGGUUCGAUUCCCCGUCUGUCCA